UAGAACUUUGGCUUGGUGUACAUCAGUGGUCACUUGGCUAUCCAGAAUUGGGUAGGAAAUCAGUUAGAGUUUCAAUCUAGCCGUGAAAAGGCCCAAGUGUGUCAUUCAAUACGUAACAAUAGGAAAACACUCACUCGACUUGUCGUUAUGAGGAUCACGUGGUUAUCUGCACUUUUGACCUUGAUGGCCAAGGUCAGUUGGGCAUGGCCCCAAAUCCCCUAUUUUUAUGUGGAUGGAGAUCCCUUCCGAGACAUUGCCGCCCUGGAUUUGGACCUGAGGAGGCAGGGAUUGCAUAAUUGGGUUUAUCUUAAUUCGGCGGAUAAUGCCGUGAACAGACGGUCGGUCGAACAGGCCAAGUUUGACCCAGGCACUAAUGAGUUUGAGGUCCAUCGGCCACCUUUCUUCACCACUCUCACCCAAAGCCAAUCAGAACCGAGUUCCGGAUCACUACCCCAUGAUUUUCGACCCUCGGAUGGGAUCAAGUCCAAUUUUCCACAAUCACAAACAAGAGUGACUGCGGCAGCAGGAGCAGUCCCUUCCAAUGGCAAAAAAUCAGUCAGAGGGACGCGUCCAUCAAAUUCCGAUGAGGGGUUGAAAGAGCUUCCAAUCGAUUUUAGGCCGUCCGAUGGGAUCAAGGCCAAUUUCUCUCGACAAAGAAGUCGUUCCGAGCCGUUGGGUCCGACUCCAUGGAGCGGAAGGGAUUCAUCCAGGGCUGCAAUCUCAACAUCGUACAUACCCAAAUUGAAUAAUAACCGGGAACGUCAAAUCCAAGACAGAUCAAAGGGGGGACAAAGAAGACCUACACUCCCACCUUACUUUCGACCUUCAGACGGGUUGAAGGCUCUUUGGCCUUGGAAUACCAGAGCCAGCCACGACAGGACCACCCUAGGGAGCUCAACUCGAAAAGUUCUAUUGAAAAAAAUCCCGGCCGCCGAUUUUGAUCCGCAGAGCAAGCUUUUGAACAAUAGCAGAAACAACAAGGGGCGAUUAAUUCGGGUGGUGAUGAGGAAAUCUCCUGGGAAAGGCAGGGAAGAUAUCGAAACAAAGGUCGUCAACAUAACAGUGAUCCCAGCCCCAUUGGGGGGAAAAAUCUUGGCUAUGGAUUCCAUGUUCCAAAUUCCUGCCGACACGGACAUGCCACCUUUGAGCCACGAUUUUGUAGGACACGAUCUAGACGAGAAUCCGUUCCUAAAAUCACAAGACACUCCCGAUAUCAUUCCCUGGAAGCACCUGGAGGAGGGCCCAACAAUCGACUCUGUUACACCCAUACAAGAAGACGCGGCCGAUGAGAAAGAAGCUUCUGGGGAGGUGUUUGAGCCUCAGGAAUCGAUAAAGACCCUCCAAUCCCGACGUCCCAAGGCGUUCCAACAGAGUCAGAUCAAUUUUAGUUGCACCGCCAAGGAACACGGUUAUUACGCAGAUCGGACCAAUUGUCGGCAGUAUUUUGUCUGCAUGCCCAAUAAAGUGGGUGGAGGGCGGCGAUGGAGGUUCUCCUGUGGUCCUGGAACCAAGUUCAGCUCCAAACAUAAUGCAUGCAUUCAUGAUCGAGGGGAGGAUUGCUAAUGACUUGUUUUCUUUCCAUGGGAGGAAGGUAUGUCUGCUCGUCCCAAAGUAUUACUAUACGAAUAUAUACGUCUAUCCAAGUCUCAAAUAAAUCUGUUGUUCACAAGGAACUUGUCAAGCGUGAAAGAUGCCAUCGAUUUGCUCGCGGAUGGAUCGAACAUCAGAAUAUCCAAUGAGGCGCACCGCAUUGCAACUUGUCAUUUUUCUAUUUCUGGGUUUUUUUUUUCUCGGAGGGGAUGCAGUGACAGGUGUCGGACUUGUAAUUAUUCAGGACAUUUGUCCUCGAUAUGAAGGAGAAGUUGAGGGAACUGACUGGUCUUUGUUGGAGCAUAAGAUGUGUGAUAUGAAACAUACUCGUUGGAAGUGUCUACUAUACAUGUCAGAAAGAAGGAGUCGUCCAUUGGAGCGAACGAAAGAAGAUGAGCUAUGUAUGUACGAACGGAUCGAGGAAGAUUCUUCCCUUUAGUUAUGCCAAAGCAGUCAGUCAAGUCGAUUCCAAUUACCUCAGAAAUGCUUUGUCGGGCCUGAGACCCCUUGGAGUUGUUCAAGGUUGAAUGCAUAUCCAGGGUGUUCAAUCAACAACCAAAACAUACGAUUAGGGGGAUCUUCUCGGGAAUGAAACACUCUGUGCCAGUGGUGAAAAAACAGUACAAAGGGACAAAUCGUCCACUUGAGAUGUUGCACUUUUGAGCACUCGAAAAGUUCCCGAGUCAUUGCUCGAACGGCCUCAGGUUUAUUUAUGUAGUUAUGUCGACUACCGGUACGGGGAUAGAUAUGUCCAGAAAGUGUCGGAUGUGACCCUGAACCACCCUGUUUACGUGGAUAAUGGGUGAGCGUGGACGGGGCCCCACUUCUCAGAACAAUUUGUGAGGACAAUACAGGACCCCAAAGUGUUACUAAGACGUGUUGCAUGGUACAUUCGACCUGGGGGGAUGUUUCAUUAGUCUAGGCACCAAUUGCAUGAGGCCAACUUUUUACCGUAUUUGUCAUCAUUGUGAACGGGCUCAACCAAAUACAACCAGGUCUAUCCAUCCACCUUCGUACAUGUCAAAAGUUGGCUUGAAAGAAGGUUUAGUAGCGGUCUCUUCACUGAUACCUUGGCUGCAACAAAGCGUGCUUGACGCCUUUCUUACGUUAAUGAUAUCGCUGUUGUACUGGAUAGCGGGGAUGGUUGAUGAGGAUAACCGAGAAGAAUAUUUCGUCUUUGUGCUGGUUAGUCAGUUCACGUUUACAGCUCGACCGAAGCAAGUGUUUUUGGUCGUGGGUAUCCUUUGCAACCAACCAACCAACCAACCAACCAACAUUACCCUUUAAAAUCAAUUUUUUUGGCAAAAUCUUCCGUCCGUUCCUUUUGAAUCAAACAUGAGCUUCCUGAACUCCAAACUAUUCUCGUCAUUGGCCGUCAUCGCCAUGAUUUACGUCUCUCAAGUUGAUUCGCAAUCCCAGUUCAAAACCGUGGUCACUUACCUGGGCACAGACUUCAUCUUGCCCGAUGGAUGUCCUUUGCCCGCUUGCCUUGAGGAUGAUCGAGUAUGCAAUCGGAAAAAGAGCGAAAUGGAACAGAGAUAUAAUAACUGCAUCAGGGGGGAAGAUGGUCUCCAUUUGGGAUGCAUCACCGAUGUUCUUCCCACCAAGGUAACAAUCACCAUCCCGGUUUAUGCCAAUUUUUGUUCAGCUUAUUGCUACGAGAAGGAUUUGACCAUGGUCAACAAGCUGGAACAUUGCCCACAUGCUGGAAAUAAGCACGAGGUCGACCCCAACUUGUUCAGUUUGUUCUAGUUUAAAUAAAAGUCAUUAUUUUCA